rnacentral:rRNA from 1 species
AGUGAACGCUGGCGGUAGGCCUAACACAUGCAAGUCGAACGGCAGCACAGUAAGAGCUUGCUCUUACGGGUGGCGAGUGGCGGACGGGUGAGGAAUACAUCGGAGUCUACUUUUUCGUGGGGGAUAACGUAGGGAAACUUACGCUAAUACCGCAUACGACCUACGGGUGAAAGCAGGGGAUCUUCGGACCUUGCGCGAUUGAAUGAGCCGAUGUCGGAUUAGCUAGUUGGCGGGGUAAAGGCCCACCAAGGCGACGAUCCGUAGCUGGUCUGAGAGGAUGAUCGGCCACACUGGAACUGAGACACGGUCCAGACUCCUACGGGAGGCAGCAGUGGGGAAUAUUGGACAAUGGGCGCAAGCCUGAUCCAGCCAUACCGCGUGGGUGAAGAAGGCCUUCGGGUUGUAAAGCCCUUUUGUUGGGAAAGAAAAGCAGCAGGUUAAUACCCCGCUGUUCUGACGGUACCCAAAGAAUAAGCACCGGCUAACUUCGUG